rnacentral:rRNA from 1 species
AGUGAACGCUGGCGGUAGGCCUAACACAUGCAAGUCGAGCGGCAGCACAGUAAGAGCUUGCUCUUACGGGUGGCGAGUGGCGGACGGGUGAGGAAUACAUCGGAAUCUACUUUUUCGUGGGGGAUAACGUAGGGAAACUUACGCUAAUACCGCAUACGACCUACGGGUGAAAGAAGGGGAUCUUCGGACCUUGCGCGAUUGAAUGAGCCGAUGUCGGAUUAGCUAGUUGGCGGGGUAAAGGCCCACCAAGGCGACGAUCCGUAGCUGGUCUGAGAGGAUGAUCAGCCACACUGGAACUGAGACACGGUCCAGACUCCUACGGGAGGCAGCAGUGGGGAAUAUUGGACAAUGGGCGCAAGCCUGAUCCAGCCAUACCGCGUGGGUGAAGAAGGCCUUCGGGUUGUAAAGCCCUUUUGUUGGGAAAGAAAAGCAGCAGGUUAAUACCCCGCUGUUCUGACGGUACCCAAAGAAUAAGCACCGGCUAACUUCGUG